ensembl:lncRNA
GGCUGUUGGGGCCAGCAAAGGGUGCUUUACUAUUUUUAAGCAGUGGAAAUCCUUUAGGUCCUUCCACGCCUGUGGACAGACACUCCUUUAGGCUUUGGUUAAAGAUAUGGUCAAUAGGGGUGGCAAUACAGUCUGCUACCAUUCUCUAUAGUUUACCAUCUAGGUUGUCUAUACAGUCUGCUACCAUUCUCUAUAGUUGACCAUCUAGGUUGUCUAUACCUGGUGGUAAUACAGUCUGCUACCAUUCUCUAUAGUUUACCAUCUAGGUUGUCUAUACCUGGUGGCUCAUCAUUAUUGAUAGAUAACAAUAGUUGACCAUCUAGGUUGUCUAUAGUUUACCAUCUAGGUUGUCUAUAGUUUACCAUCUAGGUUGUCUAUACCUGGUGGCUCAUCAUUAUUGAUGGAUAACAAUAGGUUUUCCACCUCUUCCACACAAACGUGACCAAAUUCAGAACAGCG